rnacentral:rRNA from 1 species
UACGUAGGGGGCUAGCGUUGUCCGGAUUUAUUGGGCGUAAAGAGCGCGUAGGCGGCCGAGUAAGUCCGACGUGAAAUCUGGAGGCUCAACCUCCAGCGGUCGUUGGAAACUACUCGGCUAGAGGCCGGAAGAGGAGAGUGGAAUUCCUGGUGUAGCGGUGAAAUGCGCAGAUAUCAGGAAGAACACCGAUGGCGAAAGCAGCUCUCUGGGACGGUACUGACGCUGAGGUGCGAAAGCGUGGGGAGCGAACAGG